AAUUGGAGUUAUCUUUCUUUGUAUAGAAUAGUAGUUGAUAAUAUAUGUUGGAAAUUUGCCAGACAUGACUAUGAUGUCAUUUUCUAUUUUUAUUUGCCAAUAACUUUAUGUAAAUAACUUCAUUGGAAAUUUGCCAGUAUAAAAUGUUGCUGAUGAAGCUUUUUUUCCUUAUCUUAUCUAAAAUGUUUUUAGAUAAUGUAUGUUGGACAUUUGCCAGACAUGACUAUGAUGUCAUUUUCUAUUUUUAUUUGCCAAUAACUUUAUGUAAAUAACUUCAUUGGAAAUUUGUCAAUAUAAAAUGUUGUUGAUGAAGUUUUUUUUAUUGUUUUAUACAAUAAACAAUGUAUAUUCACUUUUACUACCAACCAAUCUUUACCAUUCAGUGAUAACAAGCACUUUAUUUUACAUUUUAUUUUAUUUUAAUAUUUUAUGAUGUAUUUAAAAGAGUAGUUAUUGUUGCAAACUCCAUUAGAAAUUUGAAUUGAUAUCAGUUUUGGAAAAAGGGAAACAGGGAUGUGAAAAAAAGGGGGGGGGGUAAAUUUUUCUCAUUUCAGAUUUCAUAAAUAAAAAGAAAAUUUCUUCAAACAUUUUUUUGAGAGGAUUAAUAUUCAACAGCAUAGUGAAUUGCUCAAAGGCAAAAAAAAACUUUUAAGUUCAUUAGACCACAUUCAUUCUGUGUCAGAAACCUAUGCUGUGUCAACUAUUUAAUUUUAGAUUUAAAAAGUUUGAAGAAGAAAUCUUUAAUUGAUUUGUAAAAUCUUGACAUUUGUUUUGUGUAAAAAAAACCCAUGUAAUGUCAAAAAUUUGAUCACAAUCCAAAUUCAGAGCUGUAUCACGCUUGAAUGUUUUGUCCAUACUUGCCCCAACUGUUCAGGGUUCGACCUCUGCGGUCGUAUAAAGCUGCGCCCUGCGGAGCACCUGGUUUAACUAAAUAUCCGAAAGGAAAACUCAGGUAAAGUUUUGUAACGUUUAGCCCUGUUGUUUUAGACAAAGUUUUUGUUGAACGAUUCAUGACGGACACCAAAUGUUGGCAAAUGCUCAUAUGGCCUUAUUUUAGUUUACUAAAACGCUCAAACAUUCUCAGUGGCGGAUCCAGAAAUUUUCAUAAGUGGGGGCCCACUGACUGACCUAAGAGGGGGCCCGAUCCAGUCACGCUUCAAUGAUUCCCUAUAUAAGCAACCAAAUUUUUUCCCAAAAAGGGGGGGCCCGGGCCCCCUGGGCCCCCCCUCUAAAUCCGCC
rnacentral:lncRNA from 1 species